AGCCGGUUUUGUUGGAAGAUAC
rnacentral:snRNA from 1 species